CAUUGCGUUGCCUUUAAAAACAAGCCGCACUCACAACCAGAAGCUCCCGACCGUUGGUUUACAGAACAAGGAGGAAACUUUCUUAAGGAUAUUUCACCAGGUCAACGAAGUAUUUUGAAAGGAGAACAUGGCGAUUAUUGUUAUCAUUGCGUUCCUUUGCUGUUUAACAACAAUAAUAGCAGAGUUAGACUGUGACCUUGAUGUGUGCGGCUCGACGCACUGUCCGCAAAAAUAUUACGAUACAGCCAUAGUAACGAAAAAAGAAGGCGGCUUGGUAUGCAAAUGUCUCGUAUGUGUCAAGAAACCAACAACUGCACCUCCUGCAUGGUAUGAAAAGAUAUGGAAUAAGCUGGGAAAAUGAAGAUCAUUUGCCUGUAAGAAAACUACAGCAAGACAUAUGUUUCAUACCUCUCGCAUUUUAGUGUGGCUCGACAACAGUGCGAUGUAACUUAAAAUGAGUUUAGAAUUAUUGUAGAACCAGAUGAUAAUAAAAGUAGCAUAUGGAGGUUGCCUCCAAAUAUUCGUUUGAAGAAA